UUCCUUCAGCCUGAAGUUGGAAUGUAACCACGGGUCAGAAACUGAAAAUUCCACUUGCAUUAAAAUUACACUUUGUCAUUAGAAAUGUUUAUAUUUCAUUAAAAAAAAAAUCUUUCAUGUUUCUCUAUUCUUUAGAGAAGAAAUAACUAUUGUAUUUGGUUUGGAAUGGAUGAACAUAAUCUCAAAUCUUUGUUUGCAUCACUGUGCAGCAUACCAUUUUCUCAAAUGAAAGCUCUCAGUAUUUGCAGAGCAGAUGGCAGAAGUGUGUGUGAUUACCUCACUGCUUCUUUGUACUGAGCAGAGAUGGAGGCGAAUUAGGGCCCAUCAGCAGGAGGGGUGUUUGUUUUCUUCCCCAGCAAACCAUCAAAGAAUCCCGGAGCACGUCUUAACUAUUGAGACUGAAAAUUGGGUGAAUUUUGUCUGCCUGAUUCUAGUAAAGACUUUUGUAUUACUUAUAGGGAAAUUCUUUCAGAAAAGUUGCUGGAAACGGUGAGCGCCGUAUAGGAGAUAAUACAGUAACCAAUCUUAGGCCUUUCGUGCACAUGGAAGCUUUAACUGAGUAGAACUGUGAGAAAAAAGCUGUGUUGACCAAAGCCCAGGUACAGAUGAAAUUAUACAAGCAAAAAAAACCCAUUUGCCAAUACUUUCUUUGUUUCCUGUUGAGACAUCUGUAUGAUGCUUUUGCCAAUGCAGCCACUUUCCACGCCAAAUUCCCAGCUUGUGCAGCUCUACCUGCAGCCAAACAUUCGGAACGCAAACAAGGCUAAAGAUGGCUAAGUCAGUAUUAUUUCACAUCUUGGAGCAUGAAAAUUUCAGGUUCCUUACUAUUCCUGUUCUGGGGGAGAAGCUGUACUGCAGGAGUUAGCUCCUGAUUCUGCAGUUUUGUGUUGGGCCUGUGACAUUAAGGCACAGCACCGAUUUCUGUCAGGUCACACAGCCUGAAGCUGAGCGAAGCAACAGUGAGCAUGAAGAAAGGAUGCAGCCAAAGCCACCUCUGUACCAGCAGGAGUCAUACGCAGAGCUAGCUGCUGUGCAAAGCUCAGCAAAGCCACAUUUGGUGUAUGUGAUAUCCGGCUCUGUGCUCCUUGUGAUCCAAGGCCUGGACCCCUGCAGAGGGAUUUCUGGCACAGGAGGUGACAUAAAAUGGUGCCGGCAGCCACUCUUUGUGUCUACCAAAGGUUAUGGGCAGCUCGACAUUUUCCAGCGUUAAAUGCCAGAAAUCUGUUCACUGGAAAAAUUUAGGCAGUGCUAAUUAAAAAGUGAUAGCUUAAUGCUUCCCAAGACUCUGUUUUGAAUUGUGGAGGUAUUAUCUGGCCUGUAGCAACAGCUCUAUCGUCUGUCACAGUUCACUGAGACAGUCAUUUCCAGUGGAAACACAUUGGUUUAGACAAAACUUUGCCAGAAAUGCAAUUUAAAGGGAGAGACGGGGAGGUGAAAAUAAACAAGAACUCAGUGGUAAUUGCUGCUCUUUUAGGAAGCUGAGCACCAGUUCAGGUCUGUAGUGGGACUUGCGCAGAGCAGGGAGGUGCGCCUGCAGCCACGCAUUCUGACCUUACUCCUUCCUACUGGGCUCUUUGUGGUUUUAGGAUGGUUCAUACUUCUCCCUCCAGUUGGUUUGGUUUGUGAGAUUUAUUGGCAAGUUCCUGAUAAGCUACAGGAGUAUUUUUAGUCUUUAGUAACUACUGUGUGCUGCCGUUGCACAGAGACAGCAUCAUUCGCAUGCUUUAUUAGACAUUUGCCUAUUCUCCAGCACUUCUGUGCUGUAAUGGAUAAUUUGGCGAGAUGCAUAACAAAAUUUGUUAGCUGCUUUUUGUGUGUGUGUGUGUGUCAAGCUGGAAGCUCCUGUUUGACAUCCAUUUCUGUGGAAUUAGCCAAGUGGGGCAGCAAACAGAUUUGGUAUUUCUGCUCAUUGUAGCAUGGAAGGCAAAGGUUAUCACCACCACAGGACACAAGGAGGGGCGGGCACUCCUCUGGGCUGUCUCUGGAGCUGUGCUGAUGGUGUCUGGUGAAGCAGAUCUGCUGCAAAUUACAGCAUGUGGUUAUGCAUCAAUUUACGCUCCCGCCUGUUGCCAACAACGUGCUGUGCAUGAAUGGAGCUAACUUGGUAAAUAUGCUCUCUAGUAACUGAAAAUAACCAAGUGCUGUUGAAAGGAAUAAUUAAUCAAUGUUUGCAAAGCAUUUAGAAACUGAAAACCAUGGUAUUAGUGCUAAGUGUUCAGGGCUUUAGCUUUCCCAUCAGAAGUCUCAGUUUUUCUCUUUGUUAGUCUUUAACCAAACAAAACAUUAAGAGUGCAAAGUCUUUUUGUCUAAUGUCCCCAGUCAGGUGGUUUUGUGCUCGGCAGUUGUUAAAAUGCAGUAAGUAGACCAGAAGAAACUAUAAAUGGGGUGAAUCAGCUCAUUUCUACUGAUGCUGGCAGAAAUGAGUUGACUUAUGUUAGCUGGAGAUCAACAGCAGGCUCUGUAACACAAUUUCCUCCACUUGCCUAUUGGGCUCAGCCAGCCAGAACCAGUAACUGGCUUAUUCCCUGCAGCUCCCACCUCUCUGAACCCAGGUGCCAGGGAUGGAUACAACACUGUGUUAGGGCACAGGCUUCCCUGCACAGCGAGGCAGACAAAUUGUAUGGCUCAGAGCUGCUAUCUGAGGCAGCCAGCAUGCUCGAUGAACAGCCCAGUGAUACCCGUGAGCAGAAAUCCCAUUUAUCAGCUGUGCUGUGCAGAGAGGUGGCACUGAUGUCUGACCCCUGGCUCGAGAACUCAGGGGAACAAGGAAGCAUCUGUGUCUUUCCUUCCAAAGUGCCUUGGCUCCCUCACAAACAAGUCUUCAUGAAGCUGCAGUCCCCAGCAGAAUGGUGGUUUUACCUGGGAAGCCAAAAGGGCUGUAAGCUACUCAGCAGGAACCAUUUGGGGGUGAGGUGAGGGAUGAGGUUAUGCACUUAGACGGCCCCAGCCAGUCCCCCAUGCCCAUAUCUCUGUGUGCGCAACUGCUCCCUUCUCUGUUCUGAAGGCUAAUCUGUACCUCCAGACGUUUACAGUCAAUAUUCUUAUCUGCCUAGCGUGGUGUUAAUCUGUAUUUCAGAGAGGGAUGAGUGGGAAGACAGUCUUGUUGAAAACAGGGCACUGUGCAGAAGGCAGUUUAAGGCUAAUUGGAUGGAAAAAGCAUUGCACUGGUCCUUCAGAGCAUCUCUUUUUAGGGUUAUUGUAUGACUUUCCAACACAAGCUCCCUUUCUCCAGCCAGGAACUUUGUCAGACUAAGUCUGAUGAUGUUGAGCAUCUGUUCCACGCUCAGGACUAUCCAGCAGCUCACGCUGAGCUUCCAGAUUAAUGUAAAUCCAGACGAUGUGCCCACUUCAGCUGUGCAGUGCACGAGCACUGUGCCCAAGUAUACAUCACAUGAUGUCCCAGAACUGUUCCUAUGAAUGUGUUGAUGUAAAAAUAACUGAUUAUUCAGAUGCUAGUGGAAUUUUCAAGACAAACAGGGAGGCCCAUGUGCAUUUUAAGUACUUCCCAAGUAAAACAGCAGUUCAGCACAGGUAGGGAAGGAAAAAGGAUUACAUAUUUAGAUUAAGGUAUCUCAAUGUAUUUUUUGGAUCUUGCCUUUUUUGGAUCUGCUCAGUGCUGGUCUGACUCAUCUCUUAGGUGUUUCUACUCACAGGAGAUCAGUGACUUUGCUGCUGCUGGAUUGACUGGCAGAGUAAGGACAGUUACCUGCCAAGUAAAUCCAGUUAUUCAGCCCUUGCUGGUCCCAAAUAGAGCUCUGUGGCCUAUAAAGGGUCACAUUAAUUAAAAUAAGCCAUCAGAACAGCAGACGUGCUGGGUAUUCACCUCCGCACCAGCCCAGGGCAGAGCAUGUUCAGCUCACUUCAGCAGCAGUGCCACAAAAUCUCUUCAUGACGUUUUUGACAGAGCUAAGUAUUACCAAGAUUUUUUAAUAGUUACCUUUGUAAUUAGCCAUUUUAAAUUCAUUUACUGAAAAUGAGAGGGGCUGGAAUCCUCACGUGUCUUCCUUGCUCCUAUCUUUGCUCGAGUUCACCAUAGAGAGCUUAGUGCAAAAUCCAUAAAGAACCAAAAAAGUGCAUAUUUGAAAGAGCAAUUCAAGCAUAUGUAGAAUGUUCCUGGCUACAUGUAAUUGCAGGCAAGUACUGACAUUUCUGCUGUUCUGGACAAAUGUAUUUAUUUAUUACUUUAUUAACCCACCUCUUCUCUUCAGCAUGUGUUUCUUCUUCUCUCAUUUCCUAAUAUUCCCUGAGUAUUAUUUACCUGAUUUGCAUGACAUACAUGACAAUUGCUUGGGUAGAUCAAACCAAUGACACCACAGUGUUACAAAGAACUAGACGGGGUGUUGUAGUGCUUUUUGGAAGGGCAGAACUUUCCUUUCUUACUGGUACUACUUCCUCAAGUCAGCAGUGCUAUGAGAACUGUACUCCUCAAUUCCACAGCCAACACUGAUAUUCUGAGACAAACAUUCACCAUUCUUUGCUGCUCUGAGUAUUCUCUCACCCCAGAGAGGAAUGAUUUUAUUAAUUUAAACAGGAAGAAAUAUGUACAAAAAUGACCCAAAGUCUGAUAUAUACCUGUUGGUAUUGACUAAAUCCUUAUCCUGUGAGGGCAGUGUCAAGGCACCUAUUGAUUGUUCCUGAGUAAAUAUCUUGUUGAAGUGGCACUGUCUGUGAAAUUGAAUUACAUAAAUUUUAAUGCCUACAAUAAAAGUUCAUCAGAACUAGCACAGAAACUUCUCUACUUAACUGGAGGUUGACUCAGUUUAUGAAAUGGAGCGAUUUAUCUCCCAAUGGAUCAUGAUACAGGUAUCCAAGUGAACCAUCAGUAAUAAAUAUGGUAUUUCCUCUGUAGUGAUCUGAACAGUGAAUAAAGACUUAAUUUGCAAGUAUUUUCAGAAAUUGGGGGAAAACACAGCGAGUUCCCAAGGGUGCAAGUGGACUCGUUUGUAUUUAUAAGUAAGUCAACAUCAAGCUGAUGUGAUUAAACAGUUACUCUGUCAGUGACUUGGCCCUGUUCUUUUCUCCAUCUGGUAGGCAGGCAGGCAGAUUAAAUUUAUGCUGUGUGUUUAUUUUCUUGAAAUAAAAUGAGUUUUGUUUAUAUUUCGAGGCAGUAUGAUGUGGUAACAAAUGUACCAAAUAUAUUAACUUCAAAAAAAAAAGGAAAAAGAAAAGAGGAUUUAGACAAAAAAGAAGACGUGCCUCCCAAGGCACCAUACUUUAUUUAAAGGAAAUGGAAACACACCAUUUUUUUUUUAAAUGCUCAUUUACAGACUUUAAAGAAAAUUAAAUUUAUAGUUUAGCCUCUGAGUUCUGGAACUACCAGUUGUUUCCUGAAAGUGACUUUGUAAUGAGUUUUGGGAAAUCAUUUUAGUAUUGACUUGGGCUGUAAUGGUUGGCUGUUGCUUUUUUGAAUAAGAUUAAUUAAAUUACUCUGAACGAGCUCCAAGUCCAUGCCCUUCUCUGAGGCCAAUUGUGAAUAUGACCAUAAUAAACUCUUAAAAAGUAUUUCAGAAAGUAAAUAAUCUCCAAACCUGGAAGUAUGUCAUUGUGCUCUGGUAAGAAUAACAAACAGCAUUUGCUUCCUUGUUUCAACAUACAUCACUUUGCUUUCGUACCUUGCACUUUCCUCAGUUGUAAGAAGUGAGGGUUAUUUUUGUUUGGUUAAUUUUCUGUACAACAGCAGGAGAUAAUUUUGACUGCAUCUUAAAGAAAGAACCAGAUAAGAAGUAAGUGCAUAGGCACAAAUAAGAGCUGGCAGUUGUACUUCUGAUUUCAACUCUGAAAUGUAGGACUCCUCUUAGUUAUUCAUACUUCGGUAAGCUCAAAUAAAAUACGGACCACAUUAUAUCAGUCUCAAUAAAAACAUACGGAAGUGAAUGCUCUUAAUUUAUAGAAGCUUUGAAAAUCAAUGCCAAAUAUGCAAAGAUUCCAUAAACAGAGAGGUGAAAGGACUUAUCCAAAGCUCCUUUAUGUGCCUGGGCUGAUGACAGUUGACACCAGGUCUUCAGAGCGCCAUGCCAGCGUCCGGUCCAGCGAACACUGCUGCUGCUUGGUAAGCUGGACUGAGAUAUCUCCCCAGAUGCUGCUCUGAUUUUCCACAGAAAUGGUAAGUACUUGGAAAAAUAAGAUAAAAAAAAAGUAAAACAUACCCCAAGGGAAGCCACCAAAAAAUGAUGGGUGUAUGUCUCCCAUAGAACCAUGGGCAAGGUAGACAACAAGAACUGGUGAAAGAAUAGAAGCAAAAGGAAAGAAAACAGUAGAAGUUUGUGGAGUAAUUUAGUAUGAGCAGCUGCACAAAGUAUCUUAACAGCGACAGACCAUCUGCAGUCCCAGUACAGAGAAAGAUCAACAGCUUGUGUGGUAUGAGCUUCCAAAGGAGAGUCUGCUGCACUUCUCAAAUCUCCUGUGAGUUCUCUGAGAUGGAGUAGGUGAGCUGGGAGCACAGCACUCCUGAGAAAAUUUGGUUCUGUAAGGAUGGAGGUUGCUAGGGAGCAAAGCCCUCUUAUGCCAUAAGGAAGGAUUUCUGUUUCCUUGGCAUUACUUUCCUUGCUAGGAAGUCCUGCUCUCAUUCUUUAGGCCAAAAGAUCUGGGCAAGGCUGGUUUGAUGGGCAGAUGAGGGUGGCUGGCAAAGGCUGUGAAUUUUUCUUCUUCCUUGUUCUUAAGUGUCCUUAACCCGUGCUGACAAGAGUAAAAUAGAGACUUGGAGGUCUUAAAUAAACAGGAAUCUUGCAGGGUACAGGUUAAACUAACACUGACAGAGCCAGUAGCUGCAACAAUUUGUAAUUAUAUCCAUGAUCCCAGUGCUCUCUUUCUCAAGGCAAAAAGAUUUGGGUACCAACUUAUGGAGUGAAAUGUCAGUGUUCCCUGCAUUCCCUGCUCCACUGGUGUUCCUCUUUAGGUCUUUAGAAAGAGAACUACUUUGCUCCUAAAACUGAUUAAAGCAUGAAGGAUGAUCUGGUUGAGUGAAUGUGGUAAGAAAUGGCAACCUGUGUCAAAGUUUUUUUGCUCUUAUUUAGUUUAUAUAUUUGUGAUGUUUUUCUACUUUUGGUAGAGAUAAAAGAUUUAUAUUUCAAUGCCUCAAAUUUGAGCUCUAAUACUAUUUUUUACCUUCUACUCUUCUUUUUUCUCUUUAAUUUCUGGUAUUGUUGAGCUUUGGAAAAGAAGAAAUGUUCUCCUGGUAUAUGUACUGGUUUACUUUGUAUUAAUUUGAUUACAUUACUGAUAAACUGAAUUUACUGCUAGUCCACAAACAUGGUGGAUAUGAAUGCUUGCUUCUCACUGGUUUUCUUGAUGGAAUUUUAACCAUGUUUUGCUACAAAUGGAAUCUCAGUUAAAGGAGUAAUUAGUACUUCUGUCUGUUGAAAAUAAUAUUUUAAAUAGCUGUAGUUAAUCCUAAGAAUUGGAGAAUACUCCUUCAUGUAUUAACGUGUUAUUUUAUAUGUUUAUAUAUAUAUAUAUAUGUUAUAUAUACCUAUUUUAUAUGUUAUACAUAUUAUAUAUGUUAUAAUAGCUAAAAUCAUAUUAUUCUCCAAUAAUCCCUGCUUGGUGGGAUGGCAUUCAAGCUCUGAGUGGUGCUGACACCUCUUACACCUCUAAGAAUGGAAAACAAAGCAGUCACUUGAGCUCUUUAUUUAUCAGCCAGUAUCUCACUGCAUGUAAUUUGUCUGGUUUUUUAGCAAAGGAAGUAGGACUGCAGUCUACCUGAAAAGCUGAUGUCCUAAAUGACUGAUGUAGAAGCAGGUAAGCAUAAAAGAAUACUGGAUACAGGACCCCAAACCUCCAGUAGACCAAGAGAAAGAAGUUUAAACCCUUGCAAAUACUGGGCCAAAUACAGCCAUAUCACAGGCUAAGUCAAGUCUACACAUGCCAUUGGACACAGCUAAGAAGAAAAUGAGCUUCAGCCACUGUGCCUUUCCUCCGUUCUCUGAAAGGGCAGAGGUUCUGGCAGACAGAACUUUUAGCAGAUUCAAGAGGGCGAAUUUGACAACAAUUCACAGUGAGUAGACGCACAUUAAAGCAAAGGAAAUUUGUUUGCUUUAGGUAAAGAGUGGACAGUUUCACUGCUAGUGCUGAGGACAAGUUGUAUUCAGAAAACAGCCUCGUUUCCUUUGCCUUGUGUCUUGUGCAGAGGCUGCUUGCUGUACAUGGACUGUGAAGUUUAUGGCUAUGGGGAUUUUAGAACUAGAAGCAUCUCUGACAACCCAGUUGCAUUGUUUUUUUCUCUAUUUUAACAGCAGAUCUUUUUCAGUAGGCGGUGUGAAAAGAAUUGUUUUCAAUUAUUCUUGGCUACAUUUUUUCCCACAGAUUCUGACUUAAUUAGACUCAUUAACAAGACCAAGCAACAUAUUGUCUGUGGGAAAAGAUUUCAGAUGAGAGAAGACUGUUAUACCAUUUUAUUCAAAUCCUUCUGCCAGGAAAAAGCAACUUGACCAAAACAGGGAGGCUUCCAAGAAGUGGCUGCAUUGCUCCUGAAGCUGUUUUUGGAGAGAACAGGGUUUAUUUUUGCCAAAAAAAUGUAACUGUUUUUGUUGAAAAUAUCUGCUUUGCUUUCUAAAAUGUACUUUGUCCACAAAUAUUGCUAUCGGUAGGUCAACUCACAGUGAUCCCACUAGGAAAGACAGAUGCUUCAAGAUUAAUUCUUCAGAUGUAUUUUUUUGCUUAGUGGGGACCCAUAUGGAUGUAGAGACAGUGCACUGGGCGGUAUCCUUUCCUCAGCGCCUGUGCCUGCUAUGGGAGGCCACCCAGCUCUGUCACAGUGGGGAGAAGACAGAAAAGCAAAAAGAACAGAGGAGAGGAAAAAGGAUAGAUAUAGAAAAUUAAUGCUCGGGAGAGGGAUUGCUAGUUCUUUAGGGGAUUUCCAGCACACAGUCUAUGGAAAAUUUUUAUCCACAUCCAAACUGGUCAGAAAUUUCUUUCAGGAACUGCCAUCACUAACCCUGAGGCAGCUGGCAGCUGCAGCACUCUUCAGGCUGCACCAGAGAUAAGGAACCCAAACUACACAUGGACCCUUAAGUGGAGGAAGGAGGGACUUGCAGAGGGCUCCCAGACAGCAGAAUACAGAGGACAGUAGCAAACUUCAUGUACCAAUGGGCAGUGACUGUUGGUGCCCAUCCAGUUCUUUGGAUGUAUUAUACAUGGAACUGCUGUUAACAUAUAAGCAGCCACUGCUAAAUUAUAACCUUAAAGACGAUGGGAUUUCACCAGUGUCAGCAUCUGUUGUUCAUAAAGGAAUUGGGAAAUGGCCCAGCGUCACAUCCAGCUCUGAUCAUGAACAAAUACACUUUGACUUGGACAUGACCUGAUAUUCAAACUAGCAGUAGAUGGAAAAGAAGACAAACAGUUUUUUCAUGAGUUUCAAACACACCUUAAGCAGCUCCGGGACCUUCCAUCAAGAUAACUUGAUAAACCUUGUACGUUUACCUACCUUGACAGUUGUUCAGAUGUCAUGCUAUUUUGGUUUUAGAUUAUUUAAACUAAUGCCUGCUGUCCCACAAGAUACAGGUGAUUGCAAAGGCAGAAAGGUCACCUAAUGAAGCCUGAACUGACCUAGGAAUAUGGGCUUGGCUCCAUUCCCUGCAGUAAAAUUUCAGUGCAGAAGAUCAAAUGUGAGAUUCACCUACCUCUGAGCACAGACGUGUUCCAGGACAAAGUUUGGCAUGCAGGCCCUUCUACUCAGGCAGAACAGUACACGACAAAUGUAUCACUGCACAGUGACAUCCAAGCAGCAUGCCACAAGGUCAGAGCCUGGGUCAUAAUUCACCCUAUUAUAUCUGUUUAAUCCAUUCCUUAUUCAUCUUACUACAUGUAUUUCCUACUGAUUAUAUACCUUGUCAUGCAUCUCCAACUGACUUUUAAUCUCCAUGAUUUAAUCUUCAUUAUGGAGUCACCGGGUAUGACCAAGUUUUACUUAUUAGCAAAAACAUUAUGUAUUUUUUGAUGUUCUAAUUGGAAUAUUUCCAAUCUGAAUAUCCUCACUGUGCUCUCUCUCAGGUGUCUGUGUCACCUCCAGUACUCUCAUGGACUGCACACAUUCUGCUCAUUAAUCUACAUACCAUCACUUCUGGUGCAAAGCAAUCAUACUUAGGCUUUCUGAAAGCAGUAUAACAAUAUUUCAGCCUAUAAGCCAAUCCAGGUACUCAGACAGAAAAUACAUCUAGUCAGUUGUGUUUACAUAAAGACAUUUAUAGGGUAUGUUAUCACGAUAGUCUAUUACUUAGUAGAGCUGGUUGCAAAGUAAGAGAAAUACUACUUAUUACUGUAGUUUAGACUCUAGAAGCCUUCUUUUAAUGGUUACAUAAUACCAAAAGCUCGCCCUUGGAUCUCCUGCUUGCUGGAAAACCUGAUUUCUUGUAUUUUUUUAAUCAGAGAACAAGGAGUUGUCUCAAACGAAAAAGAAACCAAAACAAAAAAAUAUUUUCAUUUAAAAAUUACUUUUUUUCCAUUUGUUCAAGUAAAUAUUAACUGCAGCAGAUAUCCACAGCCCUCUUGAAAAGGUAAAACUUCCUAAGGCUUCUAGAAAUGCACAGCUAGACAGAGAAAGUGAGCUAACAGCCUCAUUGUUAUUAAUAAAAUAAGCCUGGUGAUACAUAGCAGUAUCAUUUGGUCACCAUGGCCCCCUCUAGCCCUACCCAAAGCUGAAACAGAAAGAAUAUCCCACCUGUGUUACAUUAACCUAGUUUCCAAUUAAAAGACUGAAAUAUUGUAGGUUUUUCAUCUCUGUGAUUUUAUCUGUAGCAAAUAAAUGAUCCAAGUGCAAGGACAAAGAGAUUUAAAGGAAGGUUAUUUACUCAAAGAGCUCUCCAAUUUCCUGAUGGCAGAAUUCACUGGGAAAAAAAACAACACAACUUACACCUGAGGAACUGUAGCUGAAAUUGCAGAUAGCCACUAGAGAGAGAGAGAAAAAAAAGGCUUCUUUAAAAACCAGUAACACCGCUAUUAUUGCAAUUCUGACUGUCAAGAAGUAAUUGCAAAUUGUUCUUGUGCCUGGACCUCCACUUGCAGAUCACAGACUGACUAUAAUAAGAAAUUAUCCCUUAAAAAGAAGGAGCCCCAGAGGAGUAGCAAAGACCAGCAUAAAAUAGGCCACAAAAAUCCUAACCAUUGAAUUUGAAGCACUAACAUACAAAAAAGAAAUGCAAGAUCACUUAGAUAUAACUUGGCCAAAACCUGCAGCAGGGAGAGCAGCCAGAAGACAUUUGAAGGAUGCGUUUGCAUGGGAAAUUCUUAGGGCUGAAGUACACAGAAAAGAACUAUUAAGGGGUGGGUAAGUAGGACUGAUGAAAUCAAAGGAAAAUGAAAGAAAAUGAUUUGACAGCAAUUGCGUGCUGUAUGGUUGCUGUGCUGUAUUUUCCCACGGGAAACAGUCAAAUGUGUUUCACUGGAAACAUUAAAAAACAACGCAGGCUGGACAGAAGCACGGAGAGAGUGCAGUAGUCAGAGAUGGGACUGGAGAGCAUUUCCACUCCUGAAUUACCUAUUUCCUGGCUGCCGUUUUAUUGUGAUUCAUUGUUUUUCCUUCUGGAACCAAUAACCUCCCACACAACAACCCCAAUCAAUAGUGACAUUUGCCAUGCACAAACCUGUUUAGAGGACUGACCCCAACUUACCUACUGGUCGGUGUCAUUCAACACUGACGUUUAUGUGCAGAGUCCGCCUCUGCAAAGAACCAGCACCUGACUUUAUACAAAUACACACAGCCUAGGAAAUAAGUAGGAUGAGUUGGAAAUUUGGAAAGUUAUGACCUUGUUGCUAUCAUGGGAGUCUGGGAUGACUCCAUAACUGGAAUACCACCAUUGAGGGGCCUCGGCUCUUUAGAAGGGAUAGGCAAGGUAGAAGGGUGGGGGAGUUGUCCUCUUGUCAAAGAGUGGAUAGACUGUGAGGAGCUCCCUCUGAGAAACAGUCAGGAACAGGUUGAGAGCCUGUGGGUUAAAACUAGGGAUAGGACUCAUAAAGGCCAGCUGGUGAUAGGGAUAUAUAUACUACAGGCCACCUGAUCAAGGGGAGACGUUGACAAGGCCUUCUUGCUUCAGAUGCAGGAGACAUUGUGCUCACAGACUCUCGUCCUGGUGAGGGACUUCAACCAUCCAGAUAUCUGAUGGAGAGACCACACAGCGAGUUCCAAGAGGUCCAGGAGGCUCCUGGAAUCCAUUGAUGAUAACUUUCUGGUUCAGGUAUUGGACAGACCAACCAGGAGUGAAGUGUUGCUGGACCUGCUGCUCACCAAUGCAGAGAUGAUCAUUACAGGUGUUAAGGUGGGAGGCAGCCUGGGCUGCAGUGACCACGCUGUGGCCGAGUUCAUGAUCUCGAGGAAUGCGGGCCUGGCAAACAGUGGGGUCAGGACCCUGAACUUCAGAAGAGCGAACUUUAAGCUGCUGAAGGAAUUUUUGGCCAAGAUCCCACUCUACUGGGUCCCUUCCAACUCAGGCCAUUCUGUGACUCUGUGAAAAAAAAUAAUAACUUUUUUUUUCUUUCCUCAAAGCAAGCUUCUACUUAAAAAAACUGCAUGCCCAGUUAUGUAAAAGUGAGAGAAAGUCUCAGGGCCCUACAGAUACCAUGUUGAGAACUGUUGAGUCAUGGCCUGAACCACUCAUUGAGCACCUGGGGAAAGGACCUGGUCAGCCCUGGGAGCACAGGUGAAGGCAAUUCAGCUGUGCGACCAGAAGGGGUGGAGCCUGGCUGCACCUCUCUUAGACCUCAUUUAAGGGCUGACUGCCACUGGGGAAGGAUCUCUGGUUGGAGAUGCCUCCCUUGUGGUGUUUUCCCAGUGAGCCUGGAUCAUCAGAGAUGGGUACACCCGUACAUGUGAUGCAACAUUUGGUCUAACAGUGGUCAACCCAGGGGAAGAAUAAGACCAAAGCCCUACUUGACAAGUGGUGUCCUGGCACGGAGGUCUCAGGAACCUCUGCUCUGAGCCUCAAGCUGGAUGGCCUCUCGCGAUCCUCUCUCCCUCUGAGCUUGGAAAACGAGACGUGGAACAGAAUCUCCUGCUGUUUUGGUCUUAUAACGAGAUGGGAAGCAGUUCCUGCUUAACAUCAGAAACAAUAUUUAGUGACUUCUACAAAUGUACCUGAUACAUACACACUAAUGCUUCAUAGGACUGAUUCCAGUGACCUUGGCAACCUUUUGUUCAGCUGAUAGUUUAAGUAAUGUUUUUGCUUAGUUGCUGUUUUGCUUAAGACCUUAAUUCUUGCAAGAAACAACUUUGUGCUGCACCAUUCCCACGUGGAUGGAGAAAUGCAUGAAUUUUUCUUAACAUGACUUGACAGUGAAUUUAUUUCAUUGUGUCUGUUUUGACCUGAGCAACUAUUUUUAUUUCCUGUCCAUCUGAGUUACUACUUGAUUUGCUGAAAGCUAAGGAACCAGAGCUGUGAGAUUAAGAUUUCAAAAAUACAUGCUUUUGGAGAAGUUAUUUGGCUGAAACAAAUGCCCUGUGUUGGUCUGUCAGAGCCACGUGUCCUGUCCCUCUGAGCUAAGCUGUAUCGGAAGGCAAGACAGUCACUGCUGAAUGCUGCUUCAUUGAAAGUACAAGUAUUUUAAAAGUAUCCAAGUACUUCAAAUGGAAUUUCUAAUGCUCAAUACUUUGAGUUAAUAAAAAAAAA
ensembl:lncRNA